GACGAACGCUGGCGGCGUGCCUAACACAUGCAAGUCGAACGGAAAGGCCCUGCUUUUGUGGGGUGCUCGAGUUGCGAACGGGUGAGUAACACUUGAGUAACCUGCCCUUGACUGUGGGAUAUCUUCAUGAAACUGGGGCUAAUACCGGAUAGGAUCUCCUGCUUCAGGGUGGGGGCUGGAAAGAUUCGGUGGUUGUGGAUGGACUCGCGGCGUAUCCGCUUGCUGGUGGGGUAGUGGUUAACCAAGGUAUUGCCCGGUAGCCGGGCUGGGAGGGGGGCCGGCACAAUUGGGACGGGGAUGCGGCCCAGACUCCACUGGUAGGGAGGGGAGGGGAAGAUUGCACAGUGGGCGGAGGCCAAAUGCAGCAACGCCGCGUGGGGGAUGACGGCCUGCGGGUUGGAAACUGCUUUCGCCUGUGACGGGGCGAGAGUGACGGUAAUGGGUAAAGAAGCACCGGCUAACUACGUG
rnacentral:rRNA from 1 species